rnacentral:rRNA from 1 species
GAUGAACGCUGGCUACAGGCUUAACACAUGCAAGUCGAGGGGAAACGACGGGGAAGCUUGCUUCCCCGGGCGUCGACCGGCGCACGGGUGAGUAACGCGUAUCCAACCUGCCUCUGACUGAGGGAUAACCCGUCGAAAGUCGGCCUAAUACCUCAUGGCAUCGUCUGCGGGCAUCCAACGACGAUUAAAGAUUUCAUCGGUCGGGGAUGGGGAUGCGUCUGAUUAGCUUGUUGGCGGGGUAACGGCCCACCAAGGCUACGAUCAGUAGGGGUUCUGAGAGGAAGGUCCCCCACAUUGGAGCUGAGACACGGUCCAAACUCCUACGGGAGGCAGCAGUGAGGAAUAUUGGUCAAUGGGCGGGAGCCUGAACCAGCCAAGUAGCGUGCAGGAUGACGGCCCUAUGGGUUGUAAACUGCUUUGAUGCGGGGAUAAAGUGAGGGACGUGUCCUUCAUUGCAGGUACCGCAUGAAUAAGGACCGGCUAAUUCCGU